GGGGAGCUGCUUAGUAUACUGAAUUGUUACACUGGGUUUGACAGUCCGACUCUUUGUCCAUCUGACGCAGUGAACGCCUCACCCGAGCUGACAGUUCGAUGCCACAGUACUUGCACUUUUCUAUCAUCGAUGUUCCCGGGGCGUUGUUCAGCCUGUGGAUGGUGGAUGCAGCUCUCCCAGUCAUCGUUCGUGAAUAGUUCACAUUCUUAGCUCUGUGAUUCUGUGUGUACCCAGGAACAUGGAUCGGUGCCACCAGUUGUUCGUUAUUCC